GCACAAGCAGCGGAGCGUGUGGUUUAAUUCGUUGCUACACGAAGAACCUUACCAGGUCUUGACAUCCCGAUGCUAUUCUAGAGAUAGAAAGUUACUUCGGUACAUCGGUGACAGGUGGUGCAUGGUUGUCGUCAGCUCGUGUCGUGAGAUGUUGGGUUAAGUCCCGCAACGAGCGCAACCCCUAUUGUUAGUUGCCAUCAUUCAGUUGGGCACUCUAGCGAGACUGCCGGUAAUAAACCGGAGGAAGGUGGGGAUGACGUCAAAUCAUCAUGCCCCUUAUGACCUGGGCUACACACGUGCUACAAUGGUUGGUACAACGAGUUGCGAGCCGGUGACGGCGAGCUAAUCUCUUAAAGCCAAUCUCAGUUCGGAUUGUAGGCUGCAACUCGCCUACAUGAAGUCGGAAUCGCUAGUAAUCGCGGAUCAGCACGCCGCGGUGAAUACGUUCCCGGGCCUU
rnacentral:rRNA from 1 species